GACGAACGCUGGCGGCGUGCCUAAUACAUGCAAGUAGAACGCUGAGGACUGGUGCUUGCACCGGUCCAAGGAGUUGCGAACGGGUGAGUAACGCGUAGGUAACCUACCUCAUAGCGGGGGAUAACUAUUGGAAACGAUAGCUAAUACCGCAUAAAAGUGUUUAACCCAUGUUAAACAUUUAAAAGGUGCAACUGCAUCACUAUGAGAUGGACCUGCGUUGUAUUAGCUAGUUGGUGAGGUAACGGCUCACCAAGGCGACGAUACAUAGCCGACCUGAGAGGGUGAUCGGCCACACUGGGACUGAGACACGGCCCAGACUCCUACGGGAGGCAGCAGUAGGGAAUCUUCGGCAAUGGACGGAAGUCUGACCGAGCAACGCCGCGUGAGUGAAGAAGGUUUUCGGAUCGUAAAGCUCUGUUGUUAGAGAAGAAUGAUGGUGGGAGUGGAAAAUCCACCAUGUGACGGUAACUAACCAGAAAGGGACGGCUAACUACGUGCCAGCAGCCGCGGUAAUACGUAGGUCCCGAGCGUUGUCCGGAUUUAUUGGGCGUAAAGCGAGCGCAGGCGGUUCUUUAAGUCUGAAGUUAAAGGCAGUGGCUCAACCAUUGUACGCUUUGGAAACUGGAGAACUUGAGUGCAGAAGGGGAGAGUGGAAUUCCAUGUGUAGCGGUGAAAUGCGUAGAUAUAUGGAGGAACACCGGUGGCGAAAGCGGCUCUCUGGUCUGUAACUGACGCUGAGGCUCGAAAGCGUGGGGAGCAACAGG
rnacentral:rRNA from 1 species